UGCUUCUCCUGGUCUCCCAUGCGGGUGCAGGGCCCAAGCACUUGGGCCAUCCUCCACUGCACUCCCUGGCCACAGCAGAGAGCUGGCCUGGAAGAGGGGCAACCGGGACAGAAUCCGGCGCCCCGACCGGGACUAGAACCCGGUGUGCCGGCGCCGCAAGGCAGAGGAUUAGCCUAGUGAGCCGCGGCGCCGGCCUGUACUUUGGAAAUUUAUGUUCAUUAAAUAAAAUAAAAUAUAAAAAGAAAAAUGCCACGUAGGCCUCAGGAAAAUACAACAAUAUUUAGUGACCUCCCAGUGCAUGCAAAGCUCUGUGCUAGGCACUGAGUGUCAGGCUUCCAGCUGUUUCUUUAAACAGACGCCCUGUGGAAAACAUGCCCGGGCCAACACUGUCAUGAGCUUGGGUCCUCGAGUGCUCACCUUGACCUGUCUGUCUAAAGAGCUUCUGCACUCUCCUCAUCAAGUGGCCUCCUAUUGUGCUGUGUCUCUAGGGUCAGGCACGUCUGGUCAUCUUGGCCACCACUAAGGCUCUCCUUAGAAAGGAUUGCGGUUCUAGACUCUGUCUUCCUGCUCAAGCUGGGGACGAGGCUCUCCCACCUACCGUGCACCCCAACCAAAUGAGUUAGUACUCUGCACUGCUGGCAGGACAGGACUACGGAGAUGUGACAGCUUACAGAAAUGGACGGCACAUCCCAAGCCUUGCCGAAGCUUGCACUUGGAUGAUUGCGACGAGGGCUGGAAGAGUGACUGGAGAAGCUCCUACUUCCUUUGCAAGUCGUCUCCUUCUCCUCUCCAACUCUCUCUCUACUAGAAAAGUCAACAGGAGGCGAAUCUGGGUGUCAUGUAGGGCUCAGCACAGGGAAAGAUGAAUUUCAAGCACCGGUGAUCAGGGAAGACUUCAUGGGAAAAGGGAAGUAGGAACUGCAGUUGGGCCUUGAGGAGUGAGUUCUUCCCCAUCACUUGCCUCCCGAGGUUAUAAUCCAAAAUGGUUGGACCAAUGAGGAAACCAGGAAAUAGAGUCUGUAGUCAAGAGACAAGUCAAAGGCAACAAUUAAGACUGGCUCCAAGAUGACCACAUGGUGUUGCACAGAUGCCCCAAGAAGAUGGACGUUGCACUCCCAGCAGCUUUGCUCACCCCUGGUCCACUCCUCAGAAUGUGAAACCUCUCCGCGGCACCACUGCCAAGUCUCAACGUCCUUCCUGUCUUUCGCAGUGUCUCGCUCUUCACCACGCCUCGUUUUCACUUGUAAAUAUUGGAUACGGGGUUAGAAAAUGUAUUCACCAAUGUGAGACACUACUUUCCUCUUUGGAGGGAGCAAAAAAUCCAAGAAUUCCAGAUGUUUGUCAUGAAGUGAUUUGAAACAAACAAAACACACUUGGGCUCUGCAUUUAUCCAGGAAGGGAGCUGUUCCGAGCCCUACUGACGGACUCGUCUUUCCACUGGAUGGUAUGAUGCUUUGGGGUUGUAACCUCAGACUGUAUUGCCUGGCCCCACGGCUGAGAAGCUGAUGUGGUGGAGCAGCGUUCUGAACAGACCUCCCAGGCCUCCAGGCUCAUCUGUCUGCCGCCAUUUCUGCUGCACUUAGAAAGCUUGUGAGCAGAACACAUGAUGGAUGAAUCUGAGUUCUGGAAUUCAAUUUUUAAGGAUCCACAAUUUGUUACUUUAUGAUGCUUUAUAGGGAGUUUCAAAUAAACACAUAUUUCAUGUUCUCUAGAAUUAGGAAAUAAUUGAAAUUUACUUUAUGAAUUGGAACAGAAAUGAACUCAUCUAAAAAAAUUCAGAUAUGGCCACAUGAAGCUCGGCUUGCCAGGGAAGACACUGU